ACGGGUGGUAAUACAUGGAGCUCGGGCCCUGCACCGCCACCUCCUCCGGGGACACCUACGGUUACAAAAGGCAACCNGGACACCUACGGUUACAAAAGGCAAACGAGAUCACAAGUCUGGUGGGCAUAGCACCUCAUCAGGUGCUGGCACAAGUGAUGGAGGCAAAAAAUCUGGUAUUGGAGGUGGUGGCAUUGCUGGAAUAAUUAUCUCUAUCCUAGUUGUUGGGGCGAUAAUAGCAUUCUUUCUGGUAAAGAGAAGAUCCAAGAAGUC
rnacentral:lncRNA from 1 species